rnacentral:rRNA from 1 species
GACGAACGCUGGCGGCGUGCUUAACACAUGCAAGUCGAACGAUGAUCCGGGUGCUUGCACCUGGGGAUUAGUGGCGAACGGGUGAGUAACACGUGAGUAACCUGCCCUGGACUAUGGGAUAACCCCGAGAAAUCGGAGCUAAUACUGGAAAGGACUUUUCCUCGCAUGAGGUGGGGUGGAAAGUUUUUUCGGUUUGGGAUGGACUCGCGGCCUAUAAGCUUGUUGGUGAGGUGAAGGCUCACGAGGGCGUCGACGGGUAGCCGGCCUGAGAGGGUGACCGGCCACACUGGGACUGGGACACGGCCCAGACUCCUCCGGGAGGCAGCAGUGGGGAAUAUUGCACAAUGGGCGCAAGCCUGAUGCAGCAACGCCGCGUGCGGGAUGACGGCCUUCGGGUUGUAAACCGCUUUUAGUAGGGAAGAAGCCUCUUGGGGUGACGGUACCUGCAGAAAAAGGACCGGCUAACUACGUGCCAGCCGCCGCGGUAAGAC